GUCGAGAAUCUUCCGCAAUGGGCGCAAGCCUGACGGGGCGACGCCGCGUGCAGGAUGAAGGCCUUCGGGUUGUAAACUGCUGUUGCGCGCUAGGAAACCCUGGGGGUUAACAGCCUCCAGGUUGACCAUCGCGUGAGGAAGCACAGGCUAACUCCGUGCCAGCAGCCGCGGUAAUACGGAGUGUGCGAGCGUUACUCGGAAUCACUGGGCAUAAAGAGCACGUAGGCGGGGAUGCAUGUCCGUGGUGAAAUCCCCCAGCUCAACUGGGGAACUGCUUCGGAAACUGUGUCUCUUGAGGACGAGAGGGGAGAGUGGAACUUCUGGUGGAGCGGUGAAAUGCGUAGAUAUCAGAAGGAACACCGGUGGCGAAAGCGACUCUCUGGCUCGUUUCUGACGCUAAGGUGCGAAAGCUUGGGUAGCAAACAGGAUUAGAAACCCCAGUAGUCC
rnacentral:rRNA from 1 species